rnacentral:misc_RNA from 1 species
GAUGAAGAACGCAGCGAAAUGCGAAAAGUAAUGUGAAUUGCAGAAUUCAGUGAAUCAUCGAAUCUUUGAACGCACAUUGCGCCCGCCAGUAUUCUGGCGGGCAUGCCUGUCUGAGCGUCAUUUCAACCCUCACGCCCCUAGGGCGUGGUGUUGGGGAUCGGCCAAGGCCCGCAAGGGACGGCCGGCCCCUAAAUCUAGUGGAGGACCCAUCGUGGCCUCCCCUGCGAAGUAGUAAUAUAUUCCGCAUCGGAUAGCGAUGAGCCCCUGCCGUUAAACCCCCAACUCUUUCAAGGUUGACCUCAGAUCAGGUAGGAAUACCCGCUGAACUUAAGCAUAUCAAUAAGCGGAGGA